rnacentral:rRNA from 1 species
UAGGGAAUCUUCCACAAUGGACGCAAGUCUGAUGGAGCAACGCCGCGUGAGUGAAGAAGGUUUUCGGACCGUAAAGCUCUGUUGUUGGUGAAGAAGGAUAGAGGUAGUAACUGGCCUUUAUUUGACGGUAAUCAACCAGAAAGUCACGGCUAACUACGUGCCAGCAGCCGCGGUAAUCGUAGGUGGCAAGCGUUGUCCGGAUUUAUUGGGCGUAAAGCGAGCGCAGGCGGAAGAAUAAGUCUGAUGUGAAAGCCCUCGGCUUAACCGAGGAAUCGCAUCGGAAACUGUUUUCUUGAGUGCAGAAGAGGAGAGUAGAACUCCAUGUGUAGCGGUGGAAUGCGUAGAUAUAUGGAAGAAUACCAGUGGCGAAGGCGGCUCUCUGGUCUGCAACUGACGCUGAGGCUCGAAAGCAUGGGUAGCGAACAGGAUUAGAUACCCUGGUAGUCCAUGCCGUAAACGAUGAGUGCUAAGUGUUGGGAGGCUUCCGCCUCUCAGUGCUGCAGCUAACGCAUUAAGCACUCCGCCUGGGGGAGUACGACCGCAAGGUUGAAAC